rnacentral:rRNA from 1 species
UACAGAGGUCCCAAGCGUUGUUCGGAUUCACUGGGCGUAAAGGGUGCGUAGGCGGCCGGGUAAGUCUGAUGUGAAAUCUCACAGCUUAACUGUGAAACUGCAUUGGAUACUAUUCGGCUUGAGAGUUGGAGGGGGGACUGGAAUUCUUGGUGUAGCAGUGAAAUGCGUAGAUAUCAAGAGGAACACCAGUGGCGAAGGCGAGUCCCUGGACAACUUCUGACGCUGAGGCACGAAAGCUAGGGGAGCAAACAGG